rnacentral:rRNA from 1 species
GACGAACGCUGGCGGCGUGCUUAACACAUGCAAGUCGAACGGAAAGGCCCUGGUUUGGGGGGGUGCUCGAGUGGCGAACGGGUGAGUAACACGUGAGUAACCUGCCCUUGAGUUUGGGAUAACUUCAGGAAACUGGGGCCAUUACCGGAUAGGAGUUCUUGCUGCAUGGUGGGGGUUGGAAAGGUUCGGCGGUUGGGGAUGGACCUGCGGCAUCCCAGCUUGGUGGUGGGGUAGGGGCUUACCAAGGCUUUGACGGGUAGCCGACCUGAGCGGGUGACCGGCCACAUUGGGACUGAGCUACGACACAGACUACAACGGGAGGCAGGGGUGGGGAGUAGUACACAGCGGGCUGAAGGCUGGUGAGACAACGCCGUGUGGGGGAUAACGUGCUUGGGGUAGUAAACCGCUUUUGUCUGUGAGGAGGCGUGAGUGACGGUACUGGGUGAAGAAGCACCGGCUAACUACGUG